GUUAGGCUACCUUUGUUGCUUUGGCGGGACCGUUCGGUCUCCGAGCCGCCAGGCCCCUUCACGGGGGUCCAGGCGAGUGCCCGCCAUAGUUAAACCAAACUCUUGUUAUUAAACCGGUCGUCUGAGUAAAAUUUUUGAAUUAAAUCAAAACUUUCAACAACGGAUCUCUUGGUUCUCGCAUCGAUGAAGAACGCAGCGAAAUGCGAUAAGUAAUGUGAAUUGCAGAAUUCAGUGAAUCAUCGAAUCUUUGAACGCACAUUGCGCCCCUUGGUAUUCCGAGGGGCAUGCCUGUUCGAGCGUCAUUACACCACUCAAGCACAGCUUGGUAUUGGGCAACCGCCCCCGCCAGUCGGGGACGCGCCUCAAAAACCUCGGCGGAGCCUCACCGGCUUUGGGCGUAGUAGAUUUUCUAAACGUCCUUUAACGGAGAUGGUUCCUUUGCCGACUGAAGCCUUAUAUUUUUUACAGGUUGACCUCGGAUCAGGUAGGGAUACCCGCUGAACUUAAGCAUAUCAAUAA
rnacentral:rRNA from 1 species